rnacentral:rRNA from 1 species
UACGGAGGGUGCAAGCGUUAUCCGGAUUCACUGGGUUUAAAGGGUGCGUAGGUGGGCAGGUAAGUCAGUGAUGAAAUCUCUGGGCUUAACCCGGAAACUGCCGUUGAUACUAUCUGUCUUGAAUAUAGUGGAGGUGAGCGGAAUAUGUCAUGUAGCGGUGAAAUGCUUAGAUAUGACAUAGAACAUCGAUUGCGAAGGCAGCUCGCUACACUAUGAUUGACACUGAGGCACGAAAGCGUGGGGAUCAAACAGG